UUGACGGCAACGCGCGGAAGACUUUAAACAAACAAAUAAACAGACAUAAAAAACUAACUAACAGGUAAAAGAAAGUUGUAAAUAUGAACGUAGGAAAUCCAGGAGACGACAAAUGACCGCCGAAUGGCGCGCUUUUGGGCUAAUUAUGUCAGAACUUUGACUAGCAUGUGUCGUCAGUUAAGGACUAACUGCGUCAUUGAAGUCAGACGUGGAAGAAAGUGGGUUUUAAACCAACAACUCAACCAACCAACGUGUCAAGGAGGAAAGAUUCAGCGAAAAGUCUGACUGGAACCAUAGGUCAUCUGGAGGCUUUUAUGUGGAGAAAAACAAGCGUGUUCUUAUUCCUGCUCUUCACUUCAGGGGAAGAACUGCAGAGGGGUGAAGAAGGCUUCCCACUUGUUAGAACGGAUCCUCCCCCAAUACGGCAGGUUUCCAGACGUCUCUGUGGCCUCACACUGAACCGCUCUCCCCCUCAGUCUCGAUGGGUUUCACACUUUCCUCUCUGUGCUGCUGGGCCUCGCUCCAGAUCAGAUCUUUUUGCCACUGACUUUGAUAUCUUAAGAGAGCAACACUCCGGCAACUGCUGAGACUUCUGUCCACCCCAGGUCUGCAUUGAUUGGCCACCAGCGUGUGUGGGCAGAUGACAACUUGGCCUUUGUUUAAAGGUCCACCGUGUGAGCAUUGGUGACAUCUAAUGGCGAGACCGCAGAUUGCCACAAAAGAAGAACUCCCCUCUCUCGUCCGUGUGGAAAUUACAGUGGCCUCCACACACAAAAGAAGAUGAGUGAGUGACAUAAAGACCUCUAAACUCACACAUGUCGUAAACUGUGACAGUGUGUGAGUGUGUUCCUGAGCCACGGAGGAUGACGAUGAUGAUGAUGACGAUGAUGAUGAUGAUGAUGAUGAUGAUAAAGUAUCUGCUGUGAGUGAAACAGCCUCUGAAGGAGCGGACUUUUCCUCUCGCCACCCGCACGCCAGCGUGUGUUUGACGUGUCUGAUGCGCCACCUUUUGGACACAGAGGGAACAACACCUGUCAGUGUCAUCUCUGUCCCGCAAAGACCAGAUUAUCUCUCUGCUGC